rnacentral:rRNA from 1 species
GCCUACAGCCAUGCUACCCUGAACAUGCCCAAUCCUAUCUGAUCACGGAAGCUAAGCAGGGUCGGGCCUGGUUAGUACAUGGAUGGGAGACCACCUAGGAAGACCAGGUGCUGCAGGCG